AGUUAGAGAGAGAGUUAGUCAUCAAGACAGGUAGUCCUGAGGCAUGGUCCUAGGGCUCAGGUCUUCAGAGAGAAGAGAAAGAGAGAGAGGUAGAGAGAGAGUUAGUCAUCAAGACAGGUAGUCCUGAGGCAUGGUCCUAGGGCUCAGGUCUUCAGAGAGAAGAGAAAGAGAGAGAGGUAGAGAGAGAGUUAGUCAUCAAGACAGGUAGUCCUGAGGCAUGGUCCUAGGGCUCAGGUCUUCAGAGAGAAGAGAAAGAGAGAGAGGUAGAGAGAGAGUUAGUCAUCAAGACAGGUAGUCCUGAGGCAUGGUCCUAGGGCUCAGGUCUUCAGAGAGAAGAGAAAGAGAGAGAGGUAGAGAGAGAGUUAGUCAUCAAGACAGGUAGUCCUGAGGCAUGGUCCUAGGGCUCAGGUCUUCAGAGAGAAGAGAAAGAGAGAGAGGUAGAGAGAGAGUUAGUCAUCAAGACAGGUAGUCCUGAGGCAUGGUCCUAGGGCUCAGGUCUUCAGAGAGAAGAGAAAGAGAGAGAGGUAGAGAGAGAGUUAGUCAUCAAGACAGGUAGUCCUGAGGCAUGGUCCUAGGGCUCAGGUCUUCAGAGAGAAGAGAAAGAGAGAGAGGUAGAGAGAGAGUUAGUCAUCAAGACAGGUAGUCCUGAGGCAUGGUCCUAGGGCUCAGGUCUUCAGAGAGAAGAGAAAGAGAGAGAGGUAGAGAGAGAGUUAGUCAUCAAGACAGGUAGUCCUGAGGCAUGGUCCUAGGGCUCAGGUCUUCAGAGAGAAGAGAAAGAGAGAGAGGUAGAGAGAGAGUUAGUCAUCAAGACAGGUAGUCCUGAGGCAUGGUCCUAGGGCUCAGGUCUUCAGAGAGAAGAGAAAGAGAGAGAGGUAGAGAGAGAGUUAGUCAUCAAGACAGGUAGUCCUGAGGCAUGGUCCUAGGGCUCAGGUCUUCAGAGAGAAGAGAAAGAGAGAGAGGUAGAGAGAGAGUUAGUCAUCAAGACAGGUAGUCCUGAGGCAUGGUCCUAGGGCUCAGGUCUUCAGAGAGAAGAGAAAGAGAGAGAGGUAGAGAGAGAGUUAGUCAUCAAGACAGGUAGUCCUGAGGCAUGGUCCUAGGGCUCAGGUCUUCAGAGAGAAGAGAAAGAGAGAGAGGUAGAGAGAGAGUUAGUCAUCAAGACAGGUAGUCCUGAGGCAUGGUCCUAGGGCUCAGGUCUUCAGAGAGAAGAGAAAGAGAGAGAGGUAGAGAGAGAGUUAGUCAUCAAGACAGGUAGUCCUGAGGCAUGGUCCUAGGGCUCAGGUCUUCAGAGAGAAGAGAAAGAGAGAGAGGUAGAGAGAGAGUUAGUCAUCAAGACAGGUAGUCCUGAGGCAUGGUCCUAGGGCUCAGGUCUUCAGAGAGAAGAGAAAGAGAGAGAGGUAGAGAGAGAGUUAGUCAUCAAGACAGGUAGUCCUGAGGCAUGGUCCUAGGGCUCAGGUCUUCAGAGAGAAGAGAAAGAGAGAGAGGUAGAGAGAGAGUUAGUCAUCAAGACAGGUAGUCCUGAGGCAUGGUCCUAGGGCUCAGGUCUUCAGAGAGAAGAGAAAGAGAGAGAGGUAGAGAGAGAGUUAGUCAUCAAGACAGGUAGUCCUGAGGCAUGGUCCUAGGGCUCAGGUCUUCAGAGAGAAGAGAAAGAGAGAGAGGUAGAGAGAGAGUUAGUCAUCAAGACAGGUAGUCCUGAGGCAUGGUCCUAGGGCUCAGGUCUUCAGAGAGAAGAGAAAGAGAGAGAGGUAGAGAGAGAGUUAGUCAUCAAGACAGGUAGUCCUGAGGCAUGGUCCUAGGGCUCAGGUCUUCAGAGAGAAGAGAAAGAGAGAGAGGUAGA